rnacentral:rRNA from 1 species
AAUGAACGCUGGCGGCAGGCCUAAAACAUGCAAGUCGAACACCUGUAGCAAUACAGGAGUGGCGCACGGGUGCGUAACACGUGGGAAUAUGCCUAUUGGUACGGAACAGCUCCGGGAAACUGGAAUUAAUACCGUAUGGUCCCUUCGGGGUAAAGAUUUAUCGCCAAUAGAUUAGCCCGCGGUGGAUUAGCUAGUUGGUAGGGUAAUGGCCUACCAAGGCGACGAUCCAUAGCUGGUCUGUGAGGACGAUCAGCCACACUGGGACUGAGACACGGACCAGACUCCUACGGGAGGCAGCAGUUAGGAAUAUUGGACAAUGGGCGCAAGCCUGAUCCAGCCAUGCCGCGUGAGUGAUGAAGGCCUUCGGGUUGUAAAACUCUUUAGCCGAUGAAUAUAAUGACUGUAGUCGGAAAAUAAGCCCCGGCUAACUUCGUGCCAGCAGCCGCCGUAA